AUAGACAAGACUAUAUCAACAGUUGAAAGACCCAGACACGAGAAGGUCAGAGAAAAUCAGAGAAAGCAAGCAAGUGAAUUUGCCUUACUCUAGGACCCACACUUUGGUGAUCACAGCUGGAUGAAGAAUGUCAGGGGAUGAAUCGGAAGAAAUGAAACUGGAAAGAGGAAGGAACCAAGUCUUGAAGGGUCUUGGAAGCCAUGUUAAGAAGGAUGAAUGAGAGGUAAAGAAGACGACAUUGAG
rnacentral:lncRNA from 10 species